AGGCCAGGGUGAGGCUGGCCCAGCUGUGGUUUUCAGAAGACAGAGCUCUGGGCACAUCCACCAUGGCCUGGACCCCUCUUUCACUCCUCGUUCUCACUCUCUGCACAGGGCCCGUGGUCUCCAGCGAGCUGACUCAGCCACGCUUUGUGUCAGUGGCCCUGGGACAGACGGCUACAAUCACCUGCACCGGAGAGAAGGUGAAAUAUAGCUCUAUAUACUGGUACCAGCAGAAGCCAGGGCAAGCCCCUCUGACAGUCAUUUAUGCGGAGAUUGAGUGGCCCUCUGGGAUCCCAGAGUGAUUCUCUGGCUCCAGGUCAGGGAACACGGCCACCCUCACCAUCAGCAAUGCACAGGCUGAGGAUGAGGCUGACUAUUACUGUCAGUCCUAUUACAGCAGUGGUAAUGCUCACAAUGACACAAGCAGAUGGGGAAGUGAGACACAAACCCCUUCUCCGACUGCAUCACCCUCUUCUCCAGCCCCAUGAGGCCUGUGCACAGAGCAGGGAAUAUUUCUGGCCCAGGUCCCCUCAUCUGAGAUAUCCAGACCUUCCUCCCCAUCCAGCUUUCCAGGCAGCUCUGCACAGGGGGGUCAGGAGAGCAUUUACAGCUGACAGCACUAGGUUGCCUGCUUCUCUGGGCCUGGGUGUCAUCUACAGACAGAGGGACUGGGUAGAAAAAAGACACAGGGAGACUUUCAUCCAGUGGGCAUGAUCUCAUUUCCAUGUGUGGUCAUGGGCUAGUGCUCUCCCAGCUGGACAGUAUUAGAGCCCAACAUGUCCCGGCUCAGCUGAGCUCCUGAAGCCCUGGGGACAUGGGUGGAGACGCUUCUACCACAGUGGAACAGACAGGUACAGGAGACACUGAGGUGUCACCCACAUCUCUG